AAGAAGAUUCGGGUAGUUAAAAAAAAAAAAGAGAAAAAUAUUGGAAAAAUAUAGCGAUAAUUGGCAUUUAAGUGACAAAACUUAAAGGCAUUUCAUGCUGUCACUGUUAUCAUCAUCGCCUCAAUACAUUUACAAUAAAAAGCACUUUCACUACCACAUCUGUAUUGAUAAACUUUAUUCAUUCCCUACUCUCAUCUCUAAUUAUCAACGCUAUCGCCAUCCGACGUCAUCAAGUUCUUCAUACAUGUAAAUAUACAUAUAUACAUAUAAAUGUAUAUACAUAUAUAUGUAUAUAUAAAUGACGCUACAGAGAAGAUAUACGUAACUGUUAUACAUCUAUAAAUAAUCGUUAAGACCUCAUAACGAAGAUAUCAUCUGAAUCCAUCCAAACGAUUAUCGUACGUAAUAGAAAAACGAUCGAAAUAUUUGUUUGUGAAUUGUGUGCAAAAGCAAUCUCAUUGAAUUAGUGUAAUUGCCACGCAUUACGCAAACACACCACCAAACAUAUAAUAAUAAUAAUAAUGAGUGUUUGGAAACGUAUUGCAUGCAAUCCAGAAGCUAAACAGUCUAUGAUACAAUACUACGAUGAGAAGGGCCUGGCCGACGUACGCGUAUGCUUAGCACCAUGGAUUGAGGAGCGUAUUAUUUCUGAUCGCAAUACCACAUCAACUGAAAUAUACGAACGCGUUGCUCAUCGAUUUUAUGAGGAUCUCAAACAGAGACUCGUACAAUUGGGCAACGGUAAUUUGAUGAAAUUUAAAAUUAACGAAAUUUGCACAAGUGUAACACAAACAUCAGCCGUGGAUCUAUACGCACAUUUACGUAACGGUCUUCAGCGUGAACUGCAGCUGUUGGACCAAAUGCCGCAAUAUCCUUAUAUGGCUGGCGUGGGCGUUAAUGGUAGCACUAGCGCGAGCAUGAUUGGCGGUAAUAGUACAGUUGUGAUGCCAGCCAUGCAUACACCAACAAUUCAUGGCACUGGUAAUGGCAGCUCAUAUAGUGGCGAUGCUUUGUAUGCAGCUCACAAUCAUAUUCAUAAUUUAAAUCUAAGCAUUACACGCGUGUUUACCGAGUUGCAACAAUUUCGUGCUAGUUAUGAGACAUUUCAUGGCUGCUUUAAUACCUAUAAUCAACGUAAAGCUGUAAUGUCAUCUCAAGAAUUGCAAACAACCGAUUUGCAAUUAAAGGAACAAUGUACCAUAUUGGCGAGCAGUCGUAACAAUAUUUUACACGAUUUGCGACGUAUCAUUACCGAAUACGACUCAAUACAGGAAACUGUGAUAAAUGAACUAAAAAAUUGGCAACACAAUCAGGCAUUGGCAGGCAAUGGUGCACCGUUCCGUGAUAAUCUUGAUGACAUUCAACGUUGCAUUGAACUAUUGGUCGAGACAGUUGGCAAAAUUCUAGAUAUUGUAAAUAUAUUACAACCUUUGAGAAUUGAUAAUAACGACGACAUGAGUGAAUUGAUUACCCACGUACGCAGUGCACAACAAUUGUUGGUAUUAUCGUCAUUUAUUGUAGAAAAACAACCGCCACAGGUUAUGAAAACCAACACCAGAUUUGCUGCUGCUGUGCGAUGGCUUAUUGGUCCACAGUUGGGUAUAAGCGUCAACAAUCCAUCCGUCGAGUGCAUAAUACUAUCAGAGGCUCAAGCUCAGCGUCAUUCUGCGCAGCGUACUAUGUCGGAAGCCUCGACCAGUACACCGGCUUCCUCUGGGGAAAUUGUUAAUAACAUUGGCACUAUGGAGUAUAAUAGUCAGACUCGGGUAUUUUCAGCGAGUUUCAGAACAAUGCAAUUGAAAAAAAUAAAACGAGCCGAAAAAAAGGGCACUGAAAGCGUAAUGGAUGAAAAGUUUGCUUUACUGUUCUACACAUCAGUGAUAGUUAAUGAUUAUAGAAUAAGGGUCUGGACUCUAUCAUUACCGGUAGUGGUUAUAGUUCACGGCAAUCAAGAACCUCAAUCAUGGGCUACCAUCACUUGGGACAAUGCUUUCUCAGAUAUUGUGCGUGAGCCUUUCCAAGUACCCGAAAGGGUGUCGUGGUCUCAAUUAGCAUUGGCUUUAAAUACAAAAUUUGAAUCGUCCACGGGUCGUGCUUUAACCGAAGAUAACUUACAUUUUAUUUAUGAGAAACUAUUCCGUCAUAACGGUAUAGCUGGAGGUGAUCAUAAAGAUUACAUAACGUGGGCUCAAUUCUGCAAGGAACCAUUACCCGAUCGUACGUUUACAUUUUGGGAUUGGUUUUUUGCUAUCAUGAAACUAACCAAAGAUCAUUUGUUAAGCCUUUGGAAGGCUGGUUUAAUUGUUGGAUUUAUUAAUAAGCGUAAAGCUGAUGAGCUAUUGCGGGUAUCGCCACCAGGCACAUUCCUAUUGCGCUUCUCGGACAGUGAAUUGGGUGGUAUUACUGUAGGUUUAGUGAAUGACCAAAAUUCAGUUUUAAUGUUAUCACCGUGGACCGCUCGUGAUUUAAAUAUACGUUGUCUUGCUGAUCGCAUACACGAUAUCGAUGCUUUGCGUUGCGUUUAUCCGUCAAAUCGUCAACGCGACGAUGCUUUUGGCGAAUUUUAUACACAAAGAAUGGAUGAGACAACACGUCGUGACGGAUACGUAACGAAUACUAUAAAAGCUCAUGUGCCAGCUAUUGAAAAUAAUUUAAGUGGAACACCACAGCAUCAGAUACAAUCGCCGCAUUCACAGGACGUGACAAUGGAAAGCUCUGCUGUGUGCAAUAACAUUACCACUGAAGAUCUCGAUAUGCUUAUCAAUGGAGCGAAUUUUAAUAUUGCAGAUGUUAAUUGGGAAAUGUAUUGAAAUAUAUGCGCAUAAGGGUGCGCAUGCUUAAAAUGCCUAGAAAAAAAAGUCUGAUCAUGUCAAAAAUGUUUACGAAUGAAUGUCUAAAUAAACUAAUAAUAAUUAUAAUUAAGCAUUAUAUAUUCAUUAUCGCUAUUUUCUCUUCCUUGGUGGCGGAAAACGCGAACAAUUGACGUAUUAAGCGACGUAUAUUCUCAACAUUCUCAAUUGGCUGAAGUGAAAAUCUAAACUUUACGGACUAUGACUUUUCGAAAUUAUUUUGAAUGUUAUGGAUUUAUAAAUUUACAUAUAUUUAUGUAUAUAUAUACAUACAUAUUUACACGCAUAUAUGAAACGAUUACCGCUAUUGCAACACCAACCAACAACAGCUACCGCUUUACAAGAAUGACGUCCAUUAAAUCGACGAGCAAAUGAAGAUUACGAAAUUUCUGACAAAGAUGUAAGAAUUAACUACGAAAAAUAAAAUUCCUCCUCACUCACCUAUGAAUACAUCUACUAUCGCUCGAGAAACUUUCGUUCACGGUGCACUUGAAUAAUUAAGAUGAAGAAUAAUUUUAAAGUGCUUUUAAAAGCGUUCUUGACUUUUUUUUUUUUUACACGCGUUUUUCAUUUUCUUUUAUGAAGAUGAAAUAUUUCAUCUUAUGAAAUAUAUAUCUCUGCGUAUUUUACUCUACUCUUUUAAAGUACUGAGAGCAUAAUAUUAGACUAAUUUAAAAAAUAUAUAUAUUAAUUUUUUUUUUUUUUGUUUUUUUCUUUAAAUCGUGCAUAGAAAUCCUAAGGAAAAAAUUGAUGGAAUGAAUAUAUAAGAAGUUUUUAUAAAAAUUACUGAAUAAAAAUGAAACGAAAUGAAAUGAAAAUAAAAUAAAACAGAAUAAUAAUUGUUGCUCUUGCCGCUUCGCCUUUAUUUAAAUUUUUUCUUCUAAAUAAUGAAUUUCAAAAUUCUCUCUCUCUCGUUCUUUGUUGCAAUCCGUAUGAAACCCAUUACUGACAAAUAAAAUAACGAAAAAAA